GGUGGGUUGUAUUCAUGAGGGGAUGUACACGUGUACUUUGUCAUGCAUGAUGUUUUGCAGAUGGUAGCUGCGUAUGUGCAAGGCUAAGACUCUUGGGCGGGGGGCAGUGAAUGAGCCCUUAGUUGGAUAUGAGAUCUUAUAAUGUACUACACUGUACA